rnacentral:rRNA from 1 species
UACGUAGGGACCAAGCGUUGUUCGGAUUUACUGGGCGUAAAGGGCGCGUAGGCGGCAGAUCAAGUCAGCUGUGAAAUCUCCGAGCUUAACUCGGAACGGUCAGCUGAUACUGUUUUGCUAGAGUACAGAAGGGGCAACUGGAAUUCUCGGUGUAGCGGUGAAAUGCGUAGAUAUCGAGAGGAACACCUGCGGCGAAGGCGGGUUGCUGGGCUGAUACUGACUGAGGCGCGAAAGCUAGGGGAGCGAACGGG